rnacentral:rRNA from 1 species
UACGUAGGGACCAAGCGUUGUUCGGAUUUACUGGGCGUAAAGGGCGCGUAGGCGGACCUGCAAGUCGGGGGUGAAAGCCCGAGGCUCAACCUCGGAACUGCCUUCGAUACUGCGGGUCUCGAGUUCGGGAGAGGUGAGUGGAAUUCCUAGUGUAGAGGUGAAAUUCGUAGAUAUUAGGAGGAACACCAAUGGCGAAGGCAGCUCGCUGGGACGUGACUGACGCUGAGACGCGAAAGCGUGGGGAGCAAACAGG